rnacentral:lncRNA from 1 species
AUGGCAGUAGAAGGUCUCAUUGAUUUUUCACUGGUAAGACUGAAAAUUGAAGGUCUAACAACAGGAAUCCACAUGUCUUGUUGUGUAUAGAUAUUCUAAAUUUCAAAGGUGUCCUUUAUACACCUCCUGAUGCCAGAACUGUGUCUUUACUUGUUGCCUCUUGUCAGCAGGCAGUAAAGGAGACGCACUAUCCUCGUGAUUGAGUUCACACGAAUGGAAGGAAGUCAUUGGCUGGAAGAGGAGGCAGUUCAUACCAGUCCAAGCGCAUUGUUCUCACCCAUGAACAAGACCUGUAAAGACAUUGACCAGGUGCUGCACCAGUAAAAGAUUUGUGAAGCACCUUCCUGAUGGACUGAAGCUUUUUUCAGGCAGAUUGCUGUUCUACAAUUCUUCUGAAAUAACAAAACAACUGAAUAAUAAACUGCUUUUAGAUAAUUGUGUAUUUGUCUUG